rfam:Triticum urartu cultivar G1812 contig216102, whole genome shotgun sequence.
AUAGUACUACCUCCGUUCCAAAUUACUCGGCGCAGAAAUGGAUGUAUCUAGAACUAAAAUACAUCUAGAUACAUCCAUAUCUGCGACAAGUAAUUCGGAACGGAGGGAGUAGCAG